rnacentral:rRNA from 1 species
AUUGAACGCUGGCGGCAUGCCUUACACAUGCAAGUCGAACGGCAGCGGGGGAGAAGCUUGCUUUUCCUGCCGGCGAGUGGCGAACGGGUGAGUAAUACAUCGGAACGUGCCCUGUAGUGGGGGAUAACUAGUCGAAAGAUUAGCUAAUACCGCAUACGACCUGAGGGUGAAAGUGGGGGACCGCAAGGCCUCAUGCUAUAGGAGCGGCCGAUGUCUGAUUAGCUAGUUGAUGGGGUAAAGGCCUACCAAGGCGACGAUCAGUAGCUGGUCUGAGAGGACGAUGAGCCACACGGGGACUGAGACACGGCCCAGACUCCUACGGGAGGCAGCAGUGGGGAAUUUUGGACAAUGGGCGAAAGCCUGAUCCAGCAAUGCCGCGUGUGUGAAGAAGGCCUUCGGGUUGUAAAGCACUUUUGUCCGGAAAGAAAUGGCUCUGGUUAAUACCUGGGGUCGAUGACGGUACCGGAAGAAUAAGGACCGGCUAACUACGUGCCAGCAGCCGCCGUAA